GAGCUGCUUCCUGGGGGUGGAGGCCUGGUCGAGGACCGGGCCGCGGGGAUACUAAAACCCCGAAAUCAUCUCAAGAUAACCUCAAGAUAACAAGAUAGGCCUAGGAAUAUUUAAUUUUUUUUAGCAUAAUUUCUUUCGGACUUUAUAAAAUGAAAAGUACAAAGUUCUACUGUCUAAUUGCUUAGUACGUCUAAGUUUGUACUAUGUUGCACAUAGUUACAAAUGUUUCUAUUUAAACAGGAGGAUGGGUUGGUACUCCAGUGUCACACAUGAACCGGUAUCUCCCUCCCCUCCAAGUUAUACCUUGUAGAACACAGGGAGUGCCAUGUUCAUCUCUGUUGCCAUCUGAAGAACACAGGGAGAGACAUGUUCAUCUCUGUUGCCAUCUGAACAACACAGGGAGUGCCAUGUUCAUCUCUGUUGCAAUCUGAAGAACAAAGGGAGUUGCCAUGUUCCUCUAUUACAAUCUGAAGAACAAAGGGAGUUGCCAUGUUCAUCUCUAUUGCAAUCUGAAGAACACAGGGAGAUACAUGUUCAUCUAUUACAAUCUGAAGAACACAGGGAGAGACAUGUUCAUCUCUGUUGCAAUGUGAAGAACAAAUGGAGUGCCAUGUUCAACUAUUACAAUGUGAAGAACAUAGGGAAAAACAUGUUCAUCUCUGUUGCUCGCCCAACGCAAUAUAAACCCUACAGUUGGCACUUAUAAAACACUCGUAUUGACAACCAUUUAAUAUAAAACCAAUAGUGCUGUACUAACAAUUCCGAUCCUAAACCCCCCCCCCCCCUUUCCUCUGGUUUAAACUCCCUAACAUACAUCUGGUUUAAUACAGUGACCCCCAAACCUCUGUUUAGACCCGCAGUAACCUUUCACAGCCGCCUGGCCUCCUUCUUCUAUAGCUGUUUGACACCAACCCCUGACCAGGGCCUCUUAACUAAUUGGUCUAACCCAUUGCCACAUUGUUAACCAAACCCUCGCACUUAAUAGGCCAUUUAGAGUAACCCCAUAGACUCUUUAACCCACCCUUAUAUUUAAGUGAUCAUAUGUUUUAAACAUGCCCCCCUGCCCCACGUUUUGAACAUGUGUGUAUAUAUGACUUCCCUUCUCCCAUGCUCCCCCCCCUCUCCCUUAAGGUAGGAUUCAUUCUUCCUUUUUUUGAUGUUAAUGUGAGAAAUACAAAUGUUUAUGUUGUUAAUGGUGAUUUUUUUUUGUUUGGUUUGUGUUUGUUUGUGAGAUGGCUGGUAGAAGUCAAUGACGGUCGGUGCCAUGAUAUCCGUGUACCAGCCCACACAGGUGCCGGUCUGCUCCUCCAACUAUGAACAGAAUAUUUACAUAAUUCAAUGAUGAGAGACCAAAUCUAGUCGAACUUAUCCUACCCUAACCUGACCUAACUUAACCUAACCUGAUCUAACUUUAGCUAGAUUAGAUUUGGUUGAUAAAAAACAAAAAUUAUGAAUACUAGACUAUCUACUAGAGCAUUCAGUACUAGUUGUGAUACUGCUGCCAGAGCAGUGGUGGUGGUAGGGAGGGUGUUGGCAGACUAGGUAGUGUUUCAGACUGUUUCAGACUGUCUGAAACUGACAGAGACGUGUGUGCAAUACCUGAGCAUGUCAUGGUAUGGUAAUGUUCCCCCUCGUAUGAUUUGUCUGUGUUAUUGCUUAAAUAAUCCAGUGACGUGCUGAUGGAACACCGGGGCUGAUGGGGGAGAUGAUACCCCUCUCUCUCUCUCUCUCUCUCUCUCUCUCUCUCUCUCUCUCUCUCUCUCUCUCUCUCUCUCUCUCUCUCUCUCUCUCGUCAUUAUAUUACCUUCUCUUGUACUUUCAGAUCUUUCUUUCAGGAGAUACAAGGUUUCCGUGUUAUCACUUAUUAUUAUUCUCUCUCUCUCUCUCUCUCUCUCUCUCUCUCUCUCUCUCUCUCUCUCUCUCUCUCUCUCUCUCUCUCAUUCCCUCGUUAGCUUCCUCCCCAUCUCCCCGUCUCCAAAAACAUACGACCGAUGUGUAUAUUUUGUAAAGGCUUUGUUGGCACCCUUGUAUGAUGUAUUUAUGUGUAUGAGAGAAUGUGUAUAGCAAGCUGUAAUGGAAGAAUGAUAAUGUGUAUAGAUUAUAAUGAUAUAAUAAAAUGUUUUUUGAUUAA
rnacentral:lncRNA from 1 species